rnacentral:misc_RNA from 1 species
CUGAGCAGUUACCUUACAGUGCAUGAAUAAGUGUUUGUUAGUCUCGAGAGCUUCUCUACAAAGGAGACAUCUGGAUACUAUGUUGAUGCGCCUCUUCUGCAUUGUUACAUGAGUCAAACAUUUUUCUUAGCAACCAUCACCUUGGUAGGAGCCACACUUUUCCAUAUUGUGUUCCAAGGUCCAAUGGAUCUUCCUGCACUUCUUUUAUGUCCCCAGUUGUAUAAUCUAUUCACUGAAAAUACCCCAUCUUUAUGAUGUCCCCAUGCUAAUCUGUCUGGCUCUAGAGUAGUACCUGGGAAUCCACCAAUCAAAGCCCAAACACUCCACCAUUCCAUCAAUCUCCCAGUCAUUUAGCAGUCUUCUAAAUAUUAUAUUCCAACAUUGUGAAGACCACAUCUCCUCUAUCUUGCUGUUGGUAUUUGUGCAUAUUGAGAAAAGAAUAGGGAACAAGUCCCUCAAAAUUCCAUUUACACACCAAUCAUCUAGCCAGAACUUUGUUUUGUCUCCUCUGCCCACCACAAUUUUUGAAUUUUUUUUUAGACUCUCCCAAAGGUUUCUGAUGGUCCUCCACACCCCACCCCAUAAGUUUCACUUACUUCACUAGUGCACCAGAAGUCCUCUUGCCCAUAUUUGUGGUUUAUUAUCUCUUUCCAUAGAGCCUGCUCCUCCUGAUUGUAUUUCCACAGCCAUUUUGAGAGAAGGCUCAUGUUAUGAACUUUUAAAUUUCUCGCUCCCAGCCCCCCAUUUUCCUUGCUUUGUUACAGGGGUUCGGGAGUUGAUUCAGGUUGGUUGGGUUUAGAUGGUGCUGGUCCAUCUACAGGCAUCAGGUCAGCAGCGAGUUUGGGUCGGGUUCAGACAGUGAUGAGGCAUCUUGCAGCUGUUGGAGAAACGUAUGCACAAACUGCUCUGGAAGAUGCUGCCUGGAAUCUUUGGUCUAUGCGUGCCUCCCAGGCUGGUACUUCCAGUUCAGCAAUUCCUCCUGCAGGUUCUGCGAGGCACAUUGGAGGCGCUGGAGGGUUGCACUUGAGGACAACCUCACGUGCCACAAACAACAAUAUUCCAAACAUACACACAAUGGUUGAAACUGUUAGAGAAGUGUUGCCACACAUACCUGAUGAAAUAAUUUUUGAGGAUUUACAGAGAACACACUCGGUAACUGUUACUGUGAAUAAUCUUCUGCACAUGUGAUUACACAUACCUUUCUUUACGAUACUGUUGUGGUAUGUCUUUCACUGAGGCAGAUCAAAAUUGAAGCUCUGGUUGUGUACAGGAGUGAGGUUUCCAAAUAUGUUGGGGUGUCAAGCCUGUUACUGCAUAUUAUAUCUGAUAUAUAUAUAAGUUUCACUUUCUUGUACAUGUAAAUAACUUGGGGAACUUGUUGUGAGAGACAAAUGCUAUAAUAAUUCCUCUUUUCUUUUUGUCUUCCCGUGAAAU